AAGGCCACGGCAGAGAACGUGUGUGUGAGUGGGGGGUGAGGGCUGCCAGAUGUUGGGGGAGCCUCCCUGUGGCUACACGUGGGGCUGGCAUUGGGACAGUCCCAACCCUGCGUGGAUAGCUGCCUGGGCAGCCAAGUCCAGGUGGCUCGGACGGCUGUUUUGCUGGAAUCUUCUUCAAGUCUGCGUUCGUCUCCCUGCGCCGUGCAGGAGGCUUCCCUGAGCGGCCCCUUGGGAGAAACCCGAGCCGGCCCCGAGUCACGUGAAGGCCUGGCACACCUGGGAUGUCCAUGGGGCACGGGGAGCCAGCCCAGCACAAGAGAGGUGCCACAGCGUUGCCUGGCUCAGUGUGGCAGCAAAGCGGGUGCUGGGCAUGGCGCUGAUCCUGGAGCAGGACGCUGUGUGUCUGCAGACCUGAGACCUGCUGAGAUCAUCGGGCCUGUGUCCUGUGUCUGGGUGGCCCAUAGGGCUGGGUCGCUGGGAUCCUCCCCCACCCUCUGCUGGCCAGGCCAGUAGGCACGAGGGGCCGCGCAGGAAUGUGGGCGGGUGAGUCUGCUCCUCAGCUGAGGGGCUCCCUGUGUGCAGUCCCUGUCCACCAGGGCUCAGUCUCUCCCUCACUAUGGGGAGGGGGGGCCAGGAGGGGACCUCCACUCCAGGGAAGCACCGUUGGCUUCCUGUCUCUGAGCCGAGGAGGGGCUGCCCUCCUCCCUCCUCCUCUGUUGGAGUGAGCAGUGAGCUCCUGGGCAGGCCAGAGACAUUCAGAGGCCGGGGGUCAGGCUGGAACCCUGGUGCCCCUGCUGGCCCAGGCCCCCUUCCCCACGAGCAACAGAGCCAGCUGGCCCUGUCCUUCCUGUUCCUUGGCUCGGGGAUGACUUCCCACAGGGGCCUUGGGGGGGGCAGCUCUGGGACUCCGCUGCUCCCGGGUGUGUCCUGUCUGCCCUGUGUCUGCCCAUCUGUACUCGGGGAUGCGGACAAGCACCCUCCAUUCCCCUGUUUGGGACAUGCCUUCUUGGACUCCAAGGAAGGCCAGUGGGAGAGCAGAGGAGGGAGGCUGGCCUGGUCCUCCCUGGAGCCGCCCGUCUCUACUUCAGGCAGCCUGGCGCCACCCUCCUGCCAGCGUCCAGAGCCCACAGCAUCCCGCUUCCACCUCAGGCCUGGCUUGGUUUGGGCGCUGGGGACUGAACCACGGAGCUGCCUUCCUGGGACGUUUUAUUUUUUGAGACAGGGUCUUGCUAAGUUGCUGAGGGUCUCACAAAUCUGAAGAGGCUGCUCUUGAACUUGUGAUCCUCCUGCCUCAGCCUCCUGCGUAGCUGGGCUGCAGGCGGGCACCAAGGCACCCGCCGCAGGUUUUGGGUGAUGUCCGUGGUGGCUGAGGAGGGGAUUAUGGCCAGGGUUGCUCCAGACCAGGGAAACUCGAGCUUCCUGCCCUCACCUCCAGAGUCACCUCAGAGCAGAGCACGCCAGGCCCAGCUGGACAGGCUGCCUCUGGCCUGCGUCCGGGCCUGGCCCGGGACCUCCGCACCCCGCCCGCGUGGACUCCGGGCAGCUCCACUGCUCCUGGCUCCAGAGCAGCCCGGCGCCUCCCACAGCCUUCGCUGGUGUCGGCUUCCACUCCUGCCCAGGGGCCGGCUCACGUGCCCAGGCCACUCUGAGAUGACACGGGAUGCCAAGCUAGUGAGGGGGAGUGGCUGAGGGCAGGGUGCCAGCCAACUCCUCUUCCUCAGAACAAAUGGAGGAAGCUUUGCCCAGCGACCCAGCCAGGGCAGGAACCUGGACCAGCAGGAAACGAGAUUCCCCACUCACAGCCCGACCCAAGGAGGCUGGGGCAUGGCACGGAGGCUGGUUCCCUGCUCUCUGCCCUCGUGGGUACGCAGCACCCAGAGCAUGCCACCAGGGUGGCAGGGAUGGAGGCCAUCUCCCCCAGCCUUCUCCUGGUCUGUCUGACUGGAAGACCUCAUGGUGACCUUGACCUUGAGGGACUGGGGCCUCCCUGGAGGACCGCCAAGACAAGCUGGACACACUGAGGCCAGAGGAAGGAGGCCACAGGCCUCCUCCAGACCUUCACCCCGGAGAGCCCAACUGCCGGGAAGGACCCUCAUCCAGGAGGAAGACCAAGACAACCCCGCUGCCAGCGUUCCCAGGAGAACAACCGGGGCACGGGCGCAACAGGCUCGUGGGAGACGACAGCCAGAAGCUGAGCGCACAGCAAGUGAGAGAAAAUGGAAGCAAAACCGAGAACGAGCUGAAGACAAACCCGCCAGCAGCUGCAGCUCCGUGGUGGCCAGGGCCCCCCACCCUGGGCCCCCCCGCCCUGGGCCCCUCCGCCCGGCUGGGCUCAGCCAGGGAGCCCUGGGAGGAGCCCUAGGGACACCAUGGCCCAAGUUCCCGCUCAUCUCCUCCAAGGCCACAAGGGUGGCCACACUCAGGAGCUGGCCAGACCCACACCCUGGCUCAGCCCUGGUCUUGCUCCUCCAAGGAGCAAGGUGACACUCCAGUCUCCCACCAGUCCCCCCAAGGACCUGCACUGGGCCAGCCCCACCGGGAGCACCCUGAGCACGAGAACCACGAGGUCCCCUUCACAGAUGAGGCGACCCAGGCCGAGCGGUCAUGGCUGGACAGCAGUGGCUUCCCCCCGGAGCGCGAGGCCAGUUCCGCCCCCAGUGCCUCCUGACCCCAGAGCUGGGUGCUCGGGCCCAGGCGCCCCUCCCAGAGUCACUCCCGAGCGCCCUGGCUCAGGUGCACACGCAGACUUACCAGAGACGGUGACCACGAUGUACUGCUGGGACGCGGGGGCCGGGGUGGGCGCGCCAGCCUGCUGCGAGGGCGUGGGGGCAGCCGGGAGCUCCGUCACGUACUGCUUCUGGCUGCCUGGUGGCUGUGCCUGGGGCUGGGGGCUUUGCAGCUCGGUGACAUACUGGGGCUGGGGGGUGGCCGAGGCGGUGGGUGUCUGGGGGGGCUGGGGCGCCGCUGGGGGUGGAGGUGGUGGCUGGGGCUGGGGUGGGGCCUGCGGUGGCUGGGAUGCUUGCGGGGCUGCCGGUAGCUCCGUAACGUACGCCUGGGUUGCCAUGCCAACAGUGGGGAAAUGAGAAUAAAUAAGGCUUUUUUUUUUUUCUCUUCCUUGGGAAGAAAGAAGGAGGGGAAGAGAGAGGGGGAAAAAGAAGGAAAAACAAGAAUUAAUCCACAGCAGGGACAGCUCCUGGCUCCCCAGAAAUGCACUGGGCUCGUCGCUAACUUAAUUAAAUCCUGAGGCUGGCGGCCAGAUACCCCGGGCCAUGACUGCAGGCAGACUGGGCACGGACAGAGGCUGGACCCCAUCUGUUUCUCCACUCCCCUGGCCAGGACUCCUGCUCUCCAGCCCCGGGUGCCUGGGGGACCCCACGAGUCCAUUCAGGUCCUGCUCCCGACACCAGGAGAACGGCGACCCAUCUGGUGGCCUGUGCUCUUGCUCAGCUCUCACUGGGGAGGACCGGCAAGUCCAGCAGCCGCCCCUUCCCCUUUCUUCUUCCCCGUGGUCUGGGCAUCUUUUAGGGGCUCCUGCCAGUUGGAUGCUGCUGGGAGCUUCCCUUAGGUUGUUUCACUGUAAACACUAUGUCUGGGUUGAGCUCAGUCUGCUAGAUGAAUGGCUGAGGUUCAGAGAGGGGAAGGCACUUGCCCUGGGCCACACAGCAGGGGUGACAGAGCGCAGUCUGAAGCAGAGCAUUCUGGGCACUGACUAGUCAGCGAUUUGCUGGAAAGGUAAGUCAAGGGGCAAGCUGCCUCUGGGCCAGCCGGUGCCAACCCUGUGUGCCCGCCAUCUGGACUGGGAUUCUUGGCUGAGUCUCAUUCCCCGUUUGGUGCCAGACAUGGGAAGGUGUUUGAGUCCCAAAUGAGCCCCUUGAACUGCUUGUGGCCACAGAGGCCUUAGGCUCCUGUGCCCAGGGGCAGUUAUGGAUCUCUGAGGCUGGGGGCAGCCGGGCCAGGCGCGGGCAGAGCAGCCGCACAGGCCUUGGCGGGGCAAGCGGCUGGGCAGCAGAGGCCGCUCUCCUGGCUGCUCGAGGUCAGGGUCCCUUCUGGGGUGCUGGGCAGGCCCGCCCCGCUCCUCUCAGCCCCACCUCAGGAGGGAAAGCCAGAUGGUUUGGGUCCCCCUCUUCAGCUCUGAGCACUUGAAGGACAGCAAACUGAGUGGUCAACAGGAGAAGCCGCCACCCUGCGGCCCUGCCUGGAGUCUGCGAACUCCGCGUGGGGCUCAUGGUGCCCUGGGAUCACAUGGCUCUUCUGAGUGGCCUCUAGCACCUGUGUGCCAUGCAGCAUCAGUAGGUGGCCCUCCAGCUGCAGGGUGACCCAGGGUGGGAUGUCCCAGGGGAAAGAACAAGCAAAACGAGAGCCGCCGCCCUCUGUCCUGGAGCCCAGGCCGCGGCCGGGGGCACUCGCGGCUGGCAGCCCUGGGAGGGGAGGGCCGAGCGAGGCGGGUGACCAGGCCCCUCUGAGCCCCAGGGUGCUCUCACUCCCAGCCCCGCUCAGCACACAGGUGUGGGGUGCCCUCCCCAGACACCCGAGCACCACCCCCCAGGCCAUGCACCCGCAGGAGCGGAGGAACCAGGGCCAGCCAGGCAGCCCUUGCUCUUCCUGUAUCCCUGUCCCUCCCUGUCCCGGGACCGAGGAUCUGCACAUGCCAGACUCCUUAGGAAGCGUCCAAGGAGGCCAGAGAACCAAGCCCCACGCCAAGCCCCGCACACACCAAGCCCCGCACGGGGCGAAGGCGCAGCUGGAAGUUGGGCCCCUCCUGGCUGCACGGCUCUGGGAAAGGUCCCGCUGCCCCAUCUGUGAAAUGGGAGGACAGCGGGCCUGACACCGUGGGCCUUACUGCAAAGGCCAGUCCUGUCGUGUGGGCAACGGCUGGACAACUGUCUGGCAGGCCAGGACACAGUUGGCCUUGAACUUGCAAUCCUCUUCCUCAGCCUCCAUAACUCAGCUGGGGUUACAGGCGGCUCAACGGCCCAGGGCCCUUUAUCCAGCUCCAGAAAGACAGGAACCCUCCAGCCCUCCCUCCCGAAGCAGCCAGAGCCUCUGCCUGCCCCUGGGUGUGCCCGCUGGGAUGGGGGGGCAGAGGACCCUAGGCCACGGUGGGCAGAAGCCUGGACUGCCUUGGGCUCUCCUGCCCAGCAGGGCAAAGGGCAGCCAGCACCCCACCUCUCCCAGGGCCCUGGGAGCAGGGACACUUGCCCACCUGCAGAGGACCCUCGACUCCUCCGUCCAGUGCUAAGUGGCGCACCUGCUGGGACUCCUCACGCUACGGGUCCAAAUCUGCCCCAGCCGGGCACGUGUGCCAAGGUAGCCCAGGAGGCCCUUCUGCCUGGUGUCACCCACCCUGAUGUGAGCCCCAGAGCAGUCUCAACUCAAACUGAACUCAACUCCCAACGUGUCACUAACAUUCUUCUGGAACUCAGUGUGUCCGUCUGUCACCUGGGGAUGGCGAGAAUGCCUGUCCCUGUGCCGCAGUAAAGAUCCACUGAGACCAGUUCGCCCCCCAGUGAGCGCGGGUCAGGACAGACGCUGCCCAGGCCUGGUGGGGACAGAGGCAGGAGGGUCCUGGAAGGAGGCCCGGGGUGAUGCAGCUUCGACAUGCACCCGUACCCCCUGGGGAGCUGGUUACGAUGCGGACUCCCGGGCCCCACUGCCCAGCCUGAGACGGCUGGAGUCUGGUUAGCUGGCCAGAGGGCUCCAGGGCAAGUGGUCCUGGAGUCACCCUUACCCAGGUCUAGGCUUUGCAGUCCUAGGAGAGCUGGCACACUCCCAGAGGAAAGAGCUUUAAAAGCUCCACACCACCCUGACGGGAGCUUCCUCCUCCUGAGGACACAACCUGCAGGCCUCAUCCCUGGGGAGGCACUGAUGGGGGCGGGAGCCUGUGUUCCCUACAGAGUAAUAAGUCAUACACGUCUCCAUGGCAGUGGCACUCCCCGGACAUGUGAGCAUUCUUAAUGGCACCUGGCCAUAGAACACCAGAACUGCUAAACCACCUGUUCCUGGGCAAUGAAUCUGCCAAGAAAAGCACUAGUGGCUGCACCUCGCUUCAAAACUAACAGCUGAUUUUUGGAGAGUAUCUGGACAAUUCCUUUAGAUCACAGGUUGGCCAACUUCCAUAAAGGGCCAGACAGUAAAUAUUUUCACUUCUGUAGGCAGACAGCAUCUGUUGCCAACUACUCAACUCUGCCACUCUGGGAGAAAGCACCCCGUAAACCGUAAGGAAACAAAUGAGCAGGCUGUGUGCCAAUAAAACUUUAUUUCUGGCCACUGAGAUUUAAAUUUCAUACGAUUUUUGUGUCAUGAAAUAUGAUUCUUUCCACAAAAUAUUCUUCUUUUGAUCUUUCCCAGUCAUUUAAAAAUGUAAAACUGAAUCCCCAGCACCACAAAAUAAAUAAAUAAAAUUUUUAAAAGUAA